rnacentral:sRNA from 1 species
AUUCUUUCAGAUUUAUUCUUACGGGGAUGUCGGCACAGAGGAACUUGCUACUUGCAGUCGUUGGAUUGUGUUUUUGUUUUCAACUGUUACCUGUGAAAGCAUUAAACUGUAAUGACAUCUGUAUGAGCGGCAUAGCUUCAGAUAGUUGUAACUGCAAUGUUAAGCUUCCAUUUCGUUGGGGAAAACGGUCGACUCUUCGACUUCCAUUUAGAUUUGGAAAACGGAGCAGCUCGAGUAUGGAAUCAUACGGUGACGACAGGGUUGCAAAACUUCACGCUUUAGCCAGAAUUUUGGCAGCUGCUGACUACCCGGAAUAUUAAAUCAAGAGAAAAUGUUGCAAAACUGUGUGUGAAGACUGAAGUGCCUGGUGUGAAAGAGAGUUAUCACAAUUCUAAAAGAGCCGGACUCCAUUUUGUCAAUUGUACCAAUUUUGUUGUCCACGUGACAAUCGAAUAACUGAAAAUCAUAACUAUGUCAUUGUUGGAUCGGUGAUCAAAACCCACUGUCAGUAAUGGUUAAUAAAAUUCAUUGUAUGGCAAACAGCUAACAUAAGAUAUGAAAUAUUGUUUUGCUUCAAAUAACAUAUGUCAAAUCAAAUAAACUUGCAUUAAAUAUUCCAUGAAU